rnacentral:rRNA from 1 species
AACGAACGCUGGCGGCAUGCCUAACACAUGCAAGUCGAACGAAGCCUUCGGGCUUAGUGGCGCACGGGUGCGUAACGCGUGGGAAUCUGCCCUUGGGUUCGGAAUAACAGUUAGAAAUGACUGCUAAUACCGAAUGAUGUCUUCGGACCAAAGAUUUAUCGCCCAAGGAUGAGCCCGCGUCGGAUUAGCUAGUUGGUGAGGUAAAGGCUCACCAAGGCGACGAUCCGUAGCUGGUCUGAGAGGAUGAUCAGCCACACUGGGACUGAGACACGGCCCAGACUCCUACGGGAGGCAGCAGUGGGGAAUAUUGGACAAUGGGCGAAAGCCUGAUCCAGCAAUGCCGCGUGAGUGAUGAAGGCCUUAGGGUUGUAAAGCUCUUUUACCCGGGAUGAUAAUGACAGUACCGGGAGAAUAAGCUCCGGCUAACUCCGUGCCAGCAGCCGCGGUAAU